rnacentral:rRNA from 1 species
ACGCUCGACACCUACGGGAGCAGCAGUGGGGAAUAUCGCACAAUGGGGGAAACCCUGAUGCAGCGACGCCGCGUGGAGGAAGAAGGUCUUCGGAUUGUAAACUCCUGUUGUUGGGGAAAAAGAGGAUGGUACCCAACAAGGAAGUGACGGCUAACUACGUGCCAGCAGCCGCGGUAAUCUGAGCGGGCUGGCAAGGC